rnacentral:rRNA from 1 species
GAUGAACGCUCGCUACAGGCUUAACACAUGCAAGUCGAGGGGAAACGACAUUGAAGCUUGCUUCGAUGGUCGUCGACCGGCGCACGGGUGAGUAACGCGUAUCCAACCUGCCUCUGACCAAGGGAUAACCCGUCGAAAGUCGGCCUAAUACCUUAUGCAGUCGUCGGAAGUCAUCUGAUGACGACGAAAGAUUUCAUCGGUGAGAGAUGGGGAUGCGUCUGAUUAGCUUGUUGGCGGGGUAACGGCCCACCAAGGCAACGAUCAGUAGGGGUUCUGAGAGGAAGGUCCCCCACAUUGGAACUGAGACACGGUCCAAACUCCUACGGGAGGCAGCAGUGAGGAAUAUUGGUCAAUGGGCGAGAGCCUGAACCAGCCAAGUAGCGUGCAGGAGGACGGCCCUAUGGGUUGUAAACUGCUUUUAGGCGGGGAUAAAGUGAGGGACGUGUCCUUCAUUGCAGGUACCGCAUGAAUAAGGACCGGCUAAUUCCGUG